rnacentral:rRNA from 1 species
AUGACGCCGUGGAAACGCUUCAUGAGGGCCCGUACGGUGGCCGCGUCCUCCCCGAGCGCCGCCGCCUGUGCCGAGAGCAUGGCCGCCUACGCCGAGAGCGCGGCCGCAUCCGCAUUCAGCACGGCUGCAUCUGCCAAGAGGGCGUCUGUGGCAGCCGACGGGGCAGCUGCAGCAGCCGAGACGGCGACUGCAAACGCCGAGAGCGCUCGAGCUGCCGUACGCACCACCGAUGUCGCCUUGGCCUGGGUCGAGGCCAUCCACACCAAGGCCGAGGACGCACACGCCAAGAUAUUUCGGGCCACCUCGAAAUCCAGCAUGCAACUCACGUCCGAAAAGGCGGCGGAGGCCAUGGAGCACCUGCUUCCUCAUGAGAUCGCCGAGCGGGAGCUAGAGAUGCAGGAGGCGGCGGUGAUCAAGGAGCGCCGGGAGAAGGAGUUCGCGUGGCUCAGGACGAGGUUGAGAAGAGUCUGUCCAUCGAGGAAUCGGCGAUGGAGUACCAGCGCGAGCUCUGGCGUAGCCACUACUAUGAGUACUACUCCAUCCUUUCCGGUUUAUAGGGCUUAUCUCAAAAAUUUAGUUGUUCCAUUUUAUAAGGCUUAA